rnacentral:rRNA from 1 species
CCUACGGGUGGCAGCAGUGAGGAAUAUUGGUCAAUGGGCGCGAGCCUGAACCAGCCAAGUAGCGUGAAGGAUGACUGCCCUACGGGUUGUAAACUUCUUUUAUAAAGGAAUAAAGUGAGGCACGUGUGCCUUUUUGCAUGUACCUUAUGAAUAAGCAUCGGCUAACUCCGUGCCAGCAGCCGCGGUAAUACGGAGGAUCCGAGCGUUAUCCGGAUUUAUUGGGGUUAAAGGGGGCGUAGAUGGGUUGUUAAGUCAGUUGUGAAAGUUUGCGGCUCAACCGUAAAAUUGCAAUUGAUACUGGCAGACUUGAGUACAGUUGAGGUAGGCGGAAUUCGUGGUGUAGCGGUGAAAUGCUUAGAUAUCACGAAGAACUCCGAUUGCGAAGGCAGCUUACUAAACUGCCACUGACAUUGAUGCUCGAAAGUGUGGGUAGCAAACAGGAUUAGAUACCCGAGUAGUC